GCAACUGGCUUGGUGCCGAAGAGGUGUGGAGAGUCAUGAGAGCAAAAGGAUUAAGUAAAUCGUAUGGGUUCAGCAGAAUUGAGAAUGAGUAUUGAUGAUUGCAUAUUGCAUAAUGGGCCUGACAUCACGAUGCCUCACCGUUGGCCUGACAUCACGAUGCCUCACCAUUAUGUCCUCUCAGUAUUUAUGCAAGUAGAUUAGGUCAUUGUACUGAUUUUUAUGUCAAGCUUUUCCUAUCAGCUGAGUUCCAU
rnacentral:lncRNA from 1 species